rnacentral:rRNA from 1 species
UACAGAGGUCUCAAGCGUUGUUCGGAUUCAUUGGGCGUAAAGGGUGCGUAGGCGGCGGCGUAAGUCGGGUGUGAAAUCCCAGGGCUCAACCCUGGAACUGCACUCGAUACUGCGUUGCUGGAGGACUGGAGAGGAGACUGGAAUUCACGGUGUAGCAGUGAAAUGCGUAGAUAUCGUGAGGAAGGCCAGUGGCGAAGGCGGGUCUCUGGACAGUUCCUGACGCUGAGGCACGAAGGCCAGGGGAGCAAACGGG